AACAAAAUGCCUUUUCGGUGUGUGAAUCCUGAAGCUUAUUUUUUUCGAGAACAUUGUGAGUUCAUAUCUUACAUUGGCUAAUUGAUAGGCGUGAUCACAUGCCUGGGGAUUUUAAUCAGAAAAAAACCCAUAAAUUUGUUAUUUGUGAUUUUUCAACCUUGAUGAAUCACAAAUCAAAAUGAACCACCAUUUUUCUGAUCUAUGCCUAUCUCUAGUUCAUGUCUAUAAGUGUUAAUUUCGCUUUCUUGGUCUCUCUCUCUCUUUUAACAGGAAACUUUUAGGAGUCUUGCAUUUAUAACCCUCCAGUCAUCGUUACUUUUUCAGAUGUCAAAAAUUGAAAAUCGGUGGGGAUAAUAAAAGGCAGCUGAUUUCCUGGCCCUUGACAAUCUAGUUAAGCAUCUGACUGAGAAUGUUGGCACCAGCGUUGGAGGAAUCACUGAGCCUCAACUCAAGCUUUUCAACAGGCAGUAGGCAAGAUACAUUGGACAGCUUCAGACUGAAACCUGGCUUGAACCAUCAUGUGUUUUCCCUAUGUUUAUGCUUUUUAGAGAAAAAACUGCUGCUCAUAUAUGCAGAUCAUCAUCAUUCUUAGUUAUAAUGUCUUUUUAAAAAUCACUAGUCUUUUGUCCUGUGAGCUGUGUUGUCUGGUAGAAAUCAUCUUCAUGCUGUACAAUUUUUUUUUAAAUAUGGAGAGUGAUAGAAAUUAAAUUAAAGAAAGCAAUUACAGAAGCUCUCUGAGUUCUCCUUUCUUUCAUACUACACACGUGAGGAUAAGGACUUAUUAAUAG
rnacentral:lncRNA from 1 species